GAUGAACGCUAGCGGCAGGCUUAAUACAUGCAAGUCGAGGGGCAGCAUGACUGUAGCAAUACAGUUGAUGGCGACCGGCAAACGGGUGCGGAACACGUACAGAACCUUCCUUCGAGCGGGGAAUAGCCCAGAGAAAUUUGGAUUAAUACCCCAUAGUACAACGGAGUGGCAUCACUUUGUUGUUAAAGAUUUAUCACUUGAAGAUGGCUGUGCGGCUGAUUAGGUAGUUGGCGGGGUAACGGCCCACCAAGCCUGCGAUCAGUAACUGGUGUGAGAGCACGACCAGUCACACGGGCACUGAGACACGGGCCCGACUCCUACGGGAGGCAGCAGUAAGGAAUAUUGGUCAAUGGACGAAAGUCUGAACCAGCCAUGCCGCGUGGAGGAUGAAGGUCCUCUGGAUUGUAAACUUCUUUUAUAUGGGACGAAAAAAGGGUUUUCUAACUCGUCUGACGGUACCAUAUGAAUAAGCACCGGCUAACUCCGUGCCAGCAGCCGCGGUAAU
rnacentral:rRNA from 1 species